UCCCUACGGGGGGCAGCAGUGAGGAAUAUUGGCCAAUGGCCGGAAGGCUGAACCAGCCAAGCCGCGUGAGGGAGGAAGGCGCAGAGCGUCGCAGACCUCUUUUGCCGGGGGACAAAAGGCCGGACUCGUCCGGUCCUGAGGGUACCCGGAGAAAAAGCAUCGGCUAACUCCGUGCCAGCAGCCGCGGUAAUACGGAGGAUGCGAGCGUUAUCCGGAUUCAUUGGGUUUAAAGGGUGCGUAGGCGGAUUUUUAAGUCAGCGGUAAAAUGUCCGGGCUCAACCCGGGCCGGCCGUUGAAACUGGGGG
rnacentral:rRNA from 1 species